UACGUAGGGACCAAGCGUUGUUCGGAUUUACUGGGCGUAAAGGGCGCGUAGGCGGCAAUUCAAGUCAUCUGUGAAAUCUCCGGGCUUAACCCGGAACGGUCAGAUGAUACUGCUUGCUAGAGUGCGGAGGGGCAAUCGGAAUUCUUGGUGUAGCGGUGAAAUGCGCAGAUAUCAGGAGGAACACCGGUGGCGAAGGCGGGUCUCUGGGCAACAACUGACGCUGGAGGAGCGAAAGCGUGGGGAGCGAACAGG
rnacentral:rRNA from 1 species